rnacentral:rRNA from 1 species
CCUACGGGAGGCAGCAGUGGGGGAUAUUGCACAAUGGGGGGAACCCUGAUGCAGCGACGCCGCGUGGGUGAAGAAGCGCCUCGGCGCGUAAAGCCCUGUCAGCAGGGAAGAAAAUGACGGUACCUGAAGAAGAAGCCCCGGCUAACUACGUGCCAGCAGCCGCGGUAAUACGUAGGGGGCAAGCGUGAUCCGGAUUUACUGGGUGUAAGGGGGGCGCAGACGGCGAUGCAAGCCAGGAGUGAAAGCCCGGGGCCCAACCCCGGGACUGCUCUUGGAACUGCGUGGCUGGAGUGCAGGAGGGGCAGGCGGAAGUCCUGGGGUAGCGGUGAAAUGCGUAGAUAGCAGGAGGAACACCGGUGGCGAGGGCGGCCUGCUGGACUGCAACUGACGUUGAGGCCCGAAAGCGUGGGGAGCAAACAGGAUUAGAUACCCGGGUAGUC